rnacentral:rRNA from 1 species
AACGAACGCUGGCGGCAGGCUUAACACAUGCAAGUCGAGCGCCCCGCAAGGGGAGCGGCAGACGGGCGAGUAACGCGUGGGAAUCUACCCUUUUCUACGGAAUAACGCAGGGAAACUUGUGCUAAUACCGUAUGAGCCCUUCGGGGGAAAGAUUUAUCGGGAAAGGAUGAGCCCGCGUUGGAUUAGCUAGUUGGUGGGGU